AGGACGAACGCUGGCGGCGUGCUUAACACAUGCAAGUCGAACGGAAAGGCCCUUCGGGGUACUCGAGUGGCGAACGGGUGAGUAACACGUGGGUGAUCUGCCCUGCACUUUGGGAUAAGCCUGGGAAACUGGGUCUAAUACCGAAUACACCUCACCGGCUGCAUGGUUGGUGGGGGAAAGCUUUUGCGGUGUGGGAUGGGCCCGCGGCCUAUCAGCUUGUUGGUGAGGUUACGGCUUACCAAGGCGACGAAGGGUA
rnacentral:rRNA from 1 species